rnacentral:rRNA from 1 species
CCUUGUACACACCGCCCGUCACACCAUGGGAGUGGGUUUCACCAGGAGCAGGUAGCCUAACCGCAAGGGGGGCGCCUACCACGGUGAGAUUCAUGACCGGGGUG